rnacentral:rRNA from 1 species
GUGCCAGCCGCCGCGGUAAUACGUAGGGUGCAAGCGUUGUCCGGAAUUACUGGGCGUAAAGAGCUCGUAGGUGGUUUGUCACGUCGUCUGUGAAAUUCCACAGCUUAACUGUGGGCGUGCAGGCGAUACGGGCUGACUUGAGUACUGUAGGGGUAACUGGAAUUCCUGGUGUAGCGGUGAAAUGCGCAGAUAUCAGGAGGACACCGAUGGCGAAGGCAGGUU